rnacentral:rRNA from 1 species
UACGUAGGGGGGCAAGCGUUUGUCCGGAUUUACUGGGCGUAAAGAGCGUGUAGGCGGCCAUGCAGGUCCGUUGUGAAAACUGGAGGCUUAACCUCCAGACGUCGACGGAAACCGCGUGGCUAGAGUCCGGAAGAGGGAGAGUGGAAUUCCUGGUGUAGCGGUGAAAUGCGCAGAUAUCAGGAAGAACACCAAUGGCGAAGGCAGCUCUCUGGGACGGUACUGACGCUGAGACGCGAAAGCGUGGGGGAGCGAACAGG